rnacentral:misc_RNA from 1 species
GAUGAAGAACGUAGCGAAAUGCGAUACUUGGUGUGAAUUGCAGAAUCCCGUGAACCAUCGAGUCUUUGAACGCAAGUUGCGCCCGAAGCCAUUAGGCCGAGGGCACGCCUGCCUGGGCGUCACACGUCGUUGCCCCCCCAUCAACUCCUUCGGGAUUGCGGGGGGCGGAUGAUGGCCUCCCGUGCGCCUCGUCGCGCGGUUGGCCUAAAUGCCAAGUCCUCGGCGACGCACGCCACGACAAUCGGUGGUUGCGAAACCUCGGUUGCCUGUCGUGUGCGGUCGUCGCGCAUCGAGGGCUCGAAAAAAUUGCCGGGCUUCGGCUCGACUUUCAACGCGACCCCAGGUCAGGCGGGGUUACCCGCUGAAUUUAAGCAUAUCAAUAAGCGGAGGA